GUGCACGCUGGCGGUAGGCCUCACCCAUUCAAGUCGAACGGCAGCACAGUAAGAGCUUGCUCUUACGGGUGGCGAGUGGCGGACGGGUGAGGAAUACAUCGGAAUCUACUUUUUCGUGGGGGAUAACGUAGGGAAACUUACGCUAAUACCGCAUACGACCUACGGGUGAAAGCAGGGGAUCUUCGGACCUUGCGCGAUUGAAUGAGCCGAUGUCGGAUUAGCUAGUUGGCGGGGUAAAGGCCCACCAAGGCGACGAUCCGUAGCUGGUCUGAGAGGAUGAUCAGCCACACUGGAACUGGGACACGGUCCAGACUCCUACGGGAGGCAGCAGUGGGGAAUAUUGGACAAUGGGCGCAAGCCUGAUCCAGCCAUACCGCGUGGGUGAAGAAGGCCUUCGGGUUGUAAAGCCCUUUUGUUGGGAAAGAAAAGCAGCAGGUUAAUACCCCGCUGUUCUGACGGUACCCAAAGAAUAAGCACCGGCUAACUUCGUG
rnacentral:rRNA from 1 species